rnacentral:rRNA from 1 species
CCUACGGGAGACAGCAGUGAGGAAUAUUGGUCAAUGGGCGCGAGCCUGAACCAGCCAAGUAGCGUGAAGGAUGACUGCCCUACGGGUUGUAAACUUCUUUUAUAAAGGAAUAAAGUGAGGCACGUGUGCCUUUUUGUAUGUACUUUAUGAAUAAGGAUAGGCUAACUCCGUGCCAGCAGCCGCGGUAAUACGGAGGAUCCGAGCGUUAUCCGGAUUUAUUGGGUUUAAAGGGAGCGUAGAUGGGUUGUUAAGUCAGUUGUGAAAGUUUGCGGCUCAACCGUAAAAUUGCAAUUGAUACUGGCAGCCGUGAGUACAGUUGAGGUAGGCGGAAUUCGUGGUGUAGCGGUGAAAUGCGUAGAUAUUAGGAGGAACAUCAGGGGCGAAGGCGACUUACUGGACUGUAACUGACACUGAGGCACGAAAGCGUGGGGAGCAAACAGGAUUAGAUACCCCUGUAGUC